rnacentral:rRNA from 1 species
ACGGGGGGUGCAAGCGUUGUUCGGAAUUAUUGGGCGUAAAGAGCGUGUAGGCGGCUGAAUAAGUCAGAUGUGAAAUCCCUGGGCUUAACUCAGGAAGUGCAUUUGAAACUGUUCAGCUCGAGUAGGGGAGAGGAAAGUGGAAUUCCUGGUGUAGAGGUGAAAUGCGUAGAUAUCAGGAGGAACACCGGUGGCGAAGGCGGCUUUCUGGACCUAUACUGACGCUGAGGCGCGAGAGCGUUGGGAGCAAACAG